rnacentral:rRNA from 1 species
CUCAGGAUGAACGCUGGCGGCGUGCUUAACACAUGCAAGUCGAACGGAGUUUUAACGGAAGUUUCGGAUGGAAGUUUAAGAACUUAGUGGCGGACGGGUGAGUAACGCGUGGGUAACCUGCCUCAGUACAGGGGGAUAACAGUUAGAAAUGACUGCUAAGACCGCAUAAUAUAGCGAAACCGCAUGAUUUUGCUAUCAAAUAUUUAUAGGUAUGAGAUGGGCCCGCGUCUGAUUAGCUAGUUGGUGGGGUAAAAGCCUACCAAGGCGACGAUCAGUAGCCGGCUUGAGAGAGUGACCGGCCACAUUGGGACUGAGACACGGCCCAAACUCCUACGGGAGGCAGCAGUGGGGAAUAUUGGACAAUGGGGGAAACCCUGAUCUAGCGAACCGCCGCGUGAGUGAAGAAGUAUUUCGGUAUGUAAAGCUCUAUCAGCAGGGAAGAUAAUGACAGUACCUGACUAAGAAGCCCCGGCUAACUACGUGCCAGCAGCCGC